GCCCCUGUAGCGCAAUGGGUAGCGCGUUGGAAUUCUAAUCCAAAGGUCGUGGGUUCAAAUUCCACCUAGGAUG